GGAGGAUAAUUGAACUUGAAAAGUUCAAAAUCUAUGAACUAUCUUAUCAUAACCUGUGGAGUGUCCAUAAGUUGAUCCUCAACCAGAUGUGCUCAUUGAUGAGGCACAACCAUGAUACACACCUCAUCAAAGGUCAAUUGAGUGUGUAAUGUACCACUCAAAUAUGGUUUGUCAUUAAGAAUGAUGAUACACCAUACAUCAUUGAGAAUGGUGUUUCCUUGACCUAUUCGGAGAUCGUCAUGAGUAGAGACUCUGAUAGUUGGCUUGAAACCAUAAUAUCCGAAAUGGACUCCCUAUAUAUCAACCAAGUAUGGACUAUGGUUGAAGCAUCUAUGUGUAUGACCUAACAGGGAUGUCAAUCUGAAUUUUUGCUAUUACCACACACCAUCUAGAGAAGUUGUCUCUAGUGGGAGGCAAAUACAUUUAUGGAUUCAAACAGGUAUUAAGGAGUAGGUACUUCUAUUUUUGAUAAGACGGUCAAAAUAUUUGACUUUAUCAAAUAUAGAUGAACCAUGUGUGUGUACAAGAAGACUAGUUGGAGUCACACUAAC
rnacentral:lncRNA from 1 species